rnacentral:rRNA from 1 species
AUUGAACGCUGGCGGCAUGCCUUACACAUGCAAGUCGAACGGCAGCACGGGUGCUUGCACCUGGUGGCGAGUGGCGAACGGGUGAGUAAUACAUCGGAACAUGUCCUGUAGUGGGGGAUAGCCCGGCGAAAGCCGGAUUAAUACCGCAUACGAUCUACGGAUGAAAGCGGGGGACCUUCGGGCCUCGCGCUAUAGGGUUGGCCGAUGGCUGAUUAGCUAGUUGGUGGGGUAAAGGCCUACCAAGGCGACGAUCAGUAGCUGGUCUGAGAGGACGACCAGCCACACUGGGACUGAGACACGGCCCAGACUCCUACGGGAGGCAGCAGUGGGGAAUUUUGGACAAAGGGCGAAAGCCUGAUCCAGCAAUGCCGCGUGUGUGAAGAAGGCCCUCGGGUUGUAAAGCACUUUUGUCCGGAAAGAAAUCCUUGGCCCUAAUACGGUCGGGGGAUGACGGUACCGGAAGAAUAAGCACCGGCUAACUACGUG